GCUCGUAGUUGGAUGUUGUGGUUUGUUGUUUUCGGUGCCUUUUGGUAUCCGUUUCAGCAGCUACUUUUUCUCGAGGCAUGUAGGUGCACUUAACCGUGUGUUUAUAUUGUUCGGGACUUUUACCGUGAGAAAAUUAGAGUGUUCAUAGCAGGCUAGUGCUUGAAUAUUACAGCAUGGAAUAAUGGAAUAGGAUCAUGAUCUUAUUUUGUUGGUUUCUAAGAUCAAGAUAAUGAUUAAUAGGGAUAGUUGGGGGCAUUAAUAUUUAGUUGUCAGAGGUGAAAUUCUUAGAUUUACAAAAGAUUAACUUCUGCGAAAGCAUUUGCCAAGGAUGUUUUCGUUAAUCAAGAACGAAAGUUGAGGGAUCGAAGAUGAUCAGAUACCGUCGUAGUCUCAACCAUAAACUAUGCCGACUAGGGAUUGGUGGUCGUUAAUUAAUGUCACCAUCAGCACCUUAUGAGAAAUCAAAGUUUUUGGGUUCUGGGGGGAGUAUGGUCGCAAGGCUGAAACUUAAAGGAAUUGACGGAAGGGCACCACCAGGAGUGGAGCCUGCGGCUUAAUUUGACUCAACACGGGGAAACUCACCAGGUCCGGACAUAGUAAG
rnacentral:rRNA from 1 species